UCGAGAAUUUUUCACAAUGGACGAAAGUCUGAUGGAGCGACGCCGCGUGGAGGAUGAAGGUUUUCGGAUUGUAAACUCCUGUCACUGCAGAACAAGGGUACGUUAGUUAACAGCCAACGUAUUUGAUGGUAUGCGGAGAGGAAGGGACGGCUAACUCUGUGCCAGCAGCCGCGGUAAGACAGAGGUCCCGAGCGUUGUUCGGAUUCAUUAGGCGUAAAGGGUGUGUAGGAGGCCAGGUAAGUCAGGUGUGAAAUCUCAGAGCUUAACUCUGAAACUGCGCUUGAUACUGCUUGGCUAGAGGAUCGGAGGGGGUAACGGAAUUUAUGGUGUAGCAGUGAAAUGCGUAGAUAUCAUAAGGAGCACCGGUGGCGAAGGCGGUUACCUGGAAGAUUCCUGACUCUGAAACACGAAAGCCAGGGGAGCAAACG
rnacentral:rRNA from 1 species